rnacentral:rRNA from 1 species
UCUGGUUGAUCCUGCCAGUAGUCAUAUGCUUGUCUCAAAGAUUAAGCCAUGCAUGUCUAAGUAUAAAUAGUAUACAGUGAAACUGCGAAUGGCUCAUUAAAACAGUUAUAGUUUAUUUGAUAAUUGACAAUUACAUGGAUAACCGUGGUAAUUCUAGAGCUAAUACAUGCUUAAACGCCCGACUUUAUGGAAGGGUGGUAUUUAUUAGACUGAAGCCAAUAUUCCUUGUGUCUAUUGCGGUGAUUCAUAAUAACUGAUCGAAUCUCUUUUUGUGAUAAAUCAUUCAAGUUUCUGCCCUAUCAGCUUUCGAUGGUAGUGUAUUGGACUACCAUGGCAGUAACGGGUAACGAAGAAUUAGGGUUCGAUUUCGGAGAGGGAGCAUGAGAAACGGCUACCACAUCUAAGGAAGGCAGCAGGCGCGUAAUUACCCAAUCCUGACUCAGGGAGGUAGUGACAAGAAAUAGCAAACCGGGAACCUCAUGGUUUCACGGUAUUGCAAUGAGAACAAUUUAAAACCCUUAGCGAGAAUCAAGUGGAGGACAAGUCUGGUGCCAGCACCCGCGGUAAUUCCAGCUCCACUAGCGUAUAUUAAAGUUGUUGCAGUUAAAAAGCUCGUAGUUGAACCUCUGUCUGGGGCUAGUUUUGGCUUUGGUCAGGCUAGUUCUAGGCAUCCGCCUACAAGACUUAGAGGGCAUUCAGUUGUUCACUAGGAGGAGUAGGCAUUUUACUUUGAAAAAAUUAGAGUGUUUAAGGCAGGCAAUCGCCCGCAUAUAUUAGCAUGGAAUAAUAGAAUAGGACACUUUUCCAUUUCGUUGGUUAUUGGAAUCGUGUAAUGAUUAAUAGGGACAGUUGUGGGCAUUUGUAUUUAAUUGUCAGAGGUGAAAUUCUUGGAUUUAUUAAAGACAAACUAACGCGAAAGCAUUUGCCAAGGAUGUUUUCAUUAAUCAAGAACGAAAGUUAGGGGAUCAAAGACGAUCAGAUACCGUCCUAGUCUUAACUAUAAACUAUUCCGACUCAAUGUUUGACUGGCUUAUAUAACCAGUUGAGCGUUGUAUGAGAAAUCAAAGUCUGUAGGUUCUGGGGGGAGUAUGGUUGCAAAGCUGAAACUUAAAGGAAUUGACGGAAGAGCACAACCAGGAGUGGAUUCUGCGGCUUAAUUUGACUCAACACGGGGAAACUUACCAGGUUAAAACAAUAGUGGGAUUGACAGUUUGAGAGCGCUUUCUUGAUUGGUUGGGUGGUGGUGCAUGGCCGUUCUUAGUUGGUGGAGUGAUUUGUCUGCUUAAUUGCGUUAACGAACGAGACCUUAACCUGCUUACUAGACUGGCGAUCAUCAAUCGUUAGCUCUUCUUAGAGGGACUUUU